AAACUAACAAGGAUUCCCCUAGUAACGGCGAGUGAACCGGGAAGAGCUCAAAUUUGAAAUCUGGCGUCCUCAGGGCGUCCGAGUUGUAAUCUAUAGAGGCGUUUUCCGUGCCGGACCGUGUCCAAGUUCCUUGGAACAGGAUAUCAAAGAGGGUGACAAUCCCGUACUUGACACGAUGACCGGUGCUCUGUGAUACGUCUUCUACGAGUCGAGUUGUUUGGGAAUGCAGCUCAAAAUGGGUGGUGAGUUCCAUCUAAAGCUAAAUAUUGGCGAGAGACCGAUAGCGAACAAGUACCGUGAGGGAAAGAUGAAAAGCACUUUGGAAAGAGAGUUAAACAGUACGUGAAAUUGUUGAAAGGGAAACGAUUGAAGUCAGUCGUGACUGAGAGGCUCAGCCGGUUCUGCCGGUGUAUUCCCCUCAGUCGGGUCAACAUCAGUUUUGUCCGGUGGAAAAGGGCGGUAGGAACGUGGCACCUCCGGGUGUGUUAUAGCCUGCCGUCGCAUACAUCGGGUGAGACUGAGGAAUGCAGCUCGCCUUUAUGGCCGGGGUUCGCCCACGUCCGAGCUUAGGAUGUUGACAUAAUGGCUUUAAACGACCCGU
rnacentral:rRNA from 1 species